UACAGAGGUCUCAAGCGUUGUUCGGAUUCAUUGGGCGUAAAGGGUGCGUAGGUGGGUUGGUAAGUCAGUGGUGAAAUCCCCGAGCUUAACUUGGGAACUGCCAUUGAUACUAUCAGUCUUGAAUACCGUGGAGGUCAGCGGAAUAUGUCAUGUAGCGGUGAAAUGCUUAGAUAUGACAUAGAACACCAAUUGCGAAGGCAGCUGGCUACACGGAUAUUGACACUGAGGCACGAAAGCGUGGGGAUCAAACAGG
rnacentral:rRNA from 1 species